UACGAAGGGGGCUAGCGUUGUUCGGAAUCAUUGGGCGUAAAGGGCGCGUAGGCGGCCUGGCAAGUGACGGGUGAAAGCCCUCGGCUCAACCGAGGAACUGCCUGUCAUACUGCCGGGCUUGAGUCCGGGAGAGGUGAGUGGAACUCCUGGUGUAGCGGUGGAAUGCGCAGAUAUCAGGAAGAACACCAACGGCGAAGGCAGCUCGCUCGGACGGUACUGACGCUGAGACGCGAAAGCGUGGGGAGCGAACAGG
rnacentral:rRNA from 1 species